UUUCAGACCCUUGCCUGUCCAUUUAUAAUCUCACCUGUUCGCAUUUCUGCCUACCAGAUGUUGAUAACGCGGUGUGCGGCUGCAGAAGUGGCUAUAAGCUCAAACCUGACAAUGAAACGUGUAUAGAUAUUAAUGAAUGUACUGACGAUGAUGAAAACAAAUGCGACGCAGAUGCCACGUGUACAAAUACGGAAGGAUCAUACUUGUGUGAAUGUCCAGAUGGAAAACAUUUGGAAAAUGACGGACGCACAUGCUCAGAAUGUGAUGAUUAUCACUAUGGACGGAACUGUUUGAAGACCUGUAGUUGCUUACAUGGAAUUUGUGACAAGAGGACUGGUUGUGUUUGCAAUCCUGGAUGGGCCGGCACACUUUGUGACACUGAUAUAGAUGAAUGCUCCACAGAACAAGUUGUAUGUCUAAAAGAAAAGUCCGUUUGUGUGAAUGUACUUGGAAGCGCCGUUUGUUCUUGUGAAACAGGAUACCAGAACCAGUCUGGAGUUUGCCAAGGUGCUUAGUUUUCCCUGAUUUUAUUGACGUAAUAAUG